rnacentral:lncRNA from 1 species
AUGUCUCUCCAGACUAACAGGGUCCCUCAGCUUUGGAAAAAAUCUGUCAUUGUUCCUGUCCCCAAAAACAAGGCUGCUCAGUCACUCAACGACUUCAGGCCUGUUGCCCUGACCUCACUAGCAAUGAAGUCAUUUGAAAAAAUUGUUAAGGAGGUCUUCGUAUCUAGAGUUAAGGAUCAUCUGGACCCACUUCAGUUUGCAUAUAGGUCAGGUCGGGGGGUGGAGGAUGCAACAGGAACUCUUUUAAACAUGAUCUUAAAGCACCUUGAGGGAAAGAAAACAUUUGCCAAAUUACUUUUUAUUGACUUCUCAUCGGCUUUUAACUGUAUUCAACUCCAUAUUUUAGCUAAGAGAUUACAUCGUUUUUAUAGUAUCGACUCUGGCUUCAUAGGAUGGCUGAUGGACUUUUUAACUGAAAGGUCUCAGCGGGUAAGGGUCAACAGGGUUUUUUCUGAUGUCCUCUUCUCCUCUACCGGCUCUCCUCAGGGCUGUGUUCUUUCACCCCUUUUAUUUAUUUUAUACACCAAUGACUGUCGCAGCCAGUAUCCACAGCGUCAUAUUUUAAAGUUUGCUGAGGACUCAGUCAUCCUGUCUCUUCUCAGCAGUGAUGACCCUGAUCACGGGCCAGUGGUCAGGGACUUCACUGACUGGUGUGAGUCCUCCUUUUUAAGUAUAAAUGUCUCAAAGACGAAGGAGAUGUCCAUCGAUUUUAGAAAAAACAGUACGGUUACCACACCUGCAGUGAUCUUUGGGGAUAAGGUGGAGGUUGUGAGCCAGUACAAAUAUCUGGGAACCAUACUUGAUGAUAGGCUGACCUUUGAAGCCCAUGUUGACGCACUUUGUAAGAAGGCUCAUCAGCGGAUGUACUUUUAUCGAAAGCUCCGUGGUUUUAAUGUGGAUACUACUUUUAUGAGAAUGUUUUAUGCUUGUUUUAUCGAGUCUUUAUUAACUUUUAAUUUCAUCUGUUGGUUUGGUCUUUUAACAUGUAAAAACAAGAAUAAAAUUUUGGGAAUAGUCAGGGUGUGCAGGAAAAUUGCGGGCACAGCCCUAAAUGACCUCUCCGAGCUGCACAAAGAAAGGUCAGUGACUAAAGCUAGACUGAUCCUGGCAUACCCAGAUCACCCCUUGCACAGUGAGUUCAGGUUGCUUCCUUCCCGACGCAGAUACAUGCACCAGAGAUGUAACACCAACAGAUGGAGAGAUUCAUUUGUCCCUGCAGUGAUCAGGCUUUUAAAUGACAUAUGUUGA